CUGGACCCAUUCCGGGGCAGGCAGACUUGGAAGCAGAUCUCUCUAGCUGCCCUGCCUACAUUUCUCCUGGUCGUGAUCACGGCAAGGCUGUCCCUGUAGACUUCUCCAACAGUCUCUGCGCAACAAACUACAGACAGAAUGAACAACAGAUAUGAAGACACGUACCUCCAGCGCGCCCUGAAACGCCAGGUGCGGUCCCUGCGGAGGAUCUGCAACAUGUGCGUGCUGGGCAUCCAGAGGAUGAAGCAGAUGCAGAUCAAGAUUGACUCACUAUCGUCAGUCAAGAAAAUGAUCGCAUGGCACUGAUCGGGAAAAGACUUGGCGAGGAAGGUGCCGUGCUGGCAGCAGGAGGCUGAGGAGACAUUUCGAACGUUGGGGACACAUGGAACAACAGGCGUGGUGUCUCGAUGUGGAGUGUCAACUUACACUUUGCAUACCGGAUGUCAUUGGAGGAACAUCGGCUUAUACUUAAGGAGAGACAUUCAAGUUCAACGUGUUCCUUCUACGUUUUAUGAACACUUCAUCAUUAUUCACCCCACUCCCCUUCUAUGUAUCUCAAAUAUAGCUAUAAAGCUACUUUAGCGAGCACUAAAUACUGGAGAUUUUAGUAAAUAGUAUUCCUAACUCAUUGCCUAUUGAAAGUAUUUGACACAGAUGGCAUUUGAUGCGAGCUAAAAGCGGAAGAAAGAUGGGAGCAAAUGGCUUUAACGUGCACUAGAAUAAGCAGCAGUAGGAAAGGUAUUACGAGGUGGAGAAACAUAUUGUUGGCUGGUUGGUUUGCUUUUCCGAAAAAGCAGGAUAGCAGGAUAAGAGUUGUAUGUCAGAAGCGGAGAUGAUAGGCAGGCAAAUGCAACGACAUUACACAAAUUAUGGCGUUUAUGAUAGGAUAAAAGGAACUAACACAUUGUUUCCGAUAAACGUAGUACUAUAUAUAUUUAUAGAUAUGCGUUUUGCAUGGUUUGAGCAGGCUUUGGACUAAGUUAUGUAAAUAUGGCUAAGAAUUUCAUGUCUCUAUACAGGCACAUUUGUGUCAUACAAUCAUCCGCUCCAACCAAAUGGACCAAACUGACAGUGUGUAAAUAGUCUCGCUCCGGGCCCGGCCUGACUCAAUUUUACGAGGCAGACCGUUGAAAUUCAAACACAGGAAAAUAACCGCAAAUAAUUUCAUGGGGUUGGUACAAUAUAGGCUAUAGGAGAAUUCUUUUCACAGACAGUAUGUACUUACCUUGCUUACGUUUCGAUGUCUCUAAGACACCUUCCUCAGAGCUUCUAACUGGAGUUCUGCUUUUCGCCGCUAUAUGUAUAGCCGACAAUCCCAGUCAUCCCCAGAGAUGAACCUGGGCGGGGGAUACAAACUUAGUCACGUUUGGGAUUGUGUUCUCGCCACAAAAGUGCCACCUACAUCGGCUACAUAUAGCAACGAGAAGCAAAAUUCCAGUUAGAAGCUCUGAGGAAGGUGUCUGAGAGACGUCAAAACGUAAGCAAAGUGACUACAUACUGUCUGUGUAAAGGAAUUCUCAUAUAUCCUACAGUAAAAAACAACUUAGAAACAACAAUUCCCAGAAGAGAUUAUACUUUGGUUUCAAUUUGAUACUUGACGCCUAUAAUUAGUCUCCAAGCAAAUCUUUCGGUUGGCAAGAAAAUUUCUACUGGUCGAACCGGUAGCCCUGGAUAUUAUUUCGGUCAGCGCGUGCUAUCUUGCCAACUGAAAGAUCAGCUGAUUAGCCUGGAUCAUUGUCAAAAGUGUAAUUACUGGUCAAAAGUGUAAUUAUUUGGUAAUUACUUGUCAAAAGUGUAAUUUCACACGUUAGCCUGGAACAUUGUCAAAAGUGUAGUUACCGAUCUAUUUUCGCACUGGCUGCGAUCCGGUCGUGUCUGUGAACAACCGUAGUGAAAUCAACAACACUAAUGUGAAAGGCUAAUGAUAGGUCUUUGCACAAGUCGUCACAUUUUGCAGACCGUUCGGACCCUUGAAAAGGUUACCUUGGGCAGUAACAUUAACAACGGUCAACCUGGGCAAUGUAAAUGCAGAGCUGUUCAAUACUUGAAAUAAACAAACGAAAUCAUA